rnacentral:lncRNA from 1 species
CAGUAUCCACAUUAUUGACUUCCAGAUUGCUCAAGGGACCCAAUGGAUCACUCUGAUACAAGCAUUAGCUGCAAGACCCGGAGGUCCGCCACAUGUGCGGAUCACAGGGAUUGACGAUCCAGUGGCGGAGUAUGCUCGAGGAGGUGGCCUGGAUAUGGUUGGGAAGUUGUUGUCGGACAUGUCCAACAAGUUCAACAUUCCGCUCGAGUUCAAAGGUUUGCCUGUGUAUGGGCCUGAGGUCACGAGAGAGAUGUUGGACAUAAGGCCUGGGGAAGCACUCGCCGUCAACUUCACUCUCCAGCUCCACCACACGCCCGACGAGAGCGU